rnacentral:lncRNA from 1 species
AUUGCUAAUUUACUUUGAAAUAUUUAAUUUAAGCAAUAAGUUAAUUUUAUUGUGUAAUAUAUUUAUUACAAAGAAAAUGUGAUGUUUGGUACAAUGCAUUCAAGUAUGGGUUCUUUUACCUAUGCGCUGCACAGAUUUGUUUUAAGUUGUAAUUUUAAAUUGUGAUAUUUUAAUUUGUAUAAAGGUAAGAAUAUUAAAUGAAAGUUCAUCAAAAACUUCAUUGUACACUAAAUUUUUUCGUAUAUUACGCAUAUGUAUCAUCUUUCUCAACAAUAAGUAUUUCAAUCCCUUUGGUAAUCUUACUUUAAACAACGCAAAUAUAAUUGGUCAUGAGAGCAUAUAUGUCUUGGCAAAUAUAAUCUCCCAUAGUUCAAUGACUGAUUUUGGCUUUUGUUAAUUGUCAUGGUGUAACAAACUUUAUUGAAAAUUGUUUCUUCUUAGCAUAAAAUAUCAUUUAGAAUUAUUUGUGGUAAAAACUAUAUGUGUUAUAAGCACUUUUGCACCAGUGUUACUUCCUGAAGUAUUUGCGACUCUAUUUUCUAUUCUCCUAGAUGUACAAUAAUUAGUUUUAUUUCAUUGCACAUUCCUAGGGUUGGAUUGAUGUUCCUGAGUAGCAUAAUUGACAUUCCUACUUUAAGGUGCAACAAUGGUUUGGGUAUUAUUGAAAUUUAAAGAAUUCAAGAACUUCACCGGAUACAUGAACUCUUGUUCAGUUAUAUAUAUUAUCAUUUGCAAUAUCCAUUUGUUGAAUUCAGAUGCCAAUAAAUUAAGUUGAGCAGAUGAUGAAGUGUCAACGAUCAUACUUUUAGAAAACAUAAAGAUCUUGAAGAAACCAACAAUGUCUUUUAGUGUUCUAUCAAGGGAUUCAAAUGCCAACCUUUUAGUCAUAGGUGUUUCAUUCCAAAUAAUCAAAUCUAUUUGAAUUAUUAAUUGAGCAAGCUGAGUAUUUUACUUGAUUAAGCUCGUACUAUCUUCAAAAACAUCUAGAGGUAUUUUAAAUCGACUAUGAGUGUUGUACCUCAAGGUAGUAAUUAAUAAUGAUACGCUCCCUGGAAUUUUUAAAAAAAUAAAAGAUUAGAGUACAAUGAAUUUAAUACAUAUUAAUAUAGUGUGAUUAUUUAGUUUGUAAAAAUGUAUUUUUAAGUUACUAAAAAAAUGUAUUAUUAAGUUCAAUCAUCAUUGAUUAAAUAAAAAGAUAAAUAUUUGUUAAAUAUUUUUUAGUAAGAAUAAUUCAAAUAUUUAUCAUCAAUAACAAAAGUAAAUAUUAAAAUUACGUUUUAGUUUUGUAAAUAGAACAAAAAAAUUACAAAAUUAAGAAUUUUAAAAUAUGAAACCAUGACAAAUUAAUAUUAUGGCUAAAUAUUUUUUUAAAAAAAAGGCAACCACCGUAAAAAAAAAAAAGGAAGGCAGCCCAACAAUAGGAGUAAGUCCACAUUGAAUUAAAAAAAAAUUGACAAAAAAAAUAAAUAAAUAAAAAAUAACAAAUAUAUGAGAAAAGGGAGAGUGAGACACGCUUCCCCUUUUUGUCAAAACAAAAACCCUAGCCACCACACCUGGCCUCUCCUCUUCUCCUCCUCCUUCCCUUACGACCACGAAACCACCAGCCAGGCCUCCGACAACUUCCGUCGGACAUGCGACCCACACCACUGACCCCCGUCCCACCCAAUUUUGUUUCUUUGUCAAACUUGUGUUGCACAGGACAAAUGACCACCGCUGCGUGACUUCCAGCGAGGCCCAUAGAGUUCAUAAUUGUAGACUAAAGUAGUAGUGUUACCAUGAUAUUCUCUCUAUGGUAUGGUCAUAUAAUGGAGUUUGAAUUGAAGGUUCCUCCUCUCCCUCCAUGUCAUUGAUUUGUGGAGGUAUUUUCUUCACUGCCUUUUGUUCUUUGUGGGCUAUAUUAAAUAAUAGUAUUAAAACAACCAUUUAAAAUUUCUUGUUUGUUGGUUCUUAUUGUCAUUAAAUUAAAUAAUAGUAUUAAAACAACCAUUUAAACCUUCCCUAAAAAAUGUCAUUUAAACCUUAAGGGUAGAAAUUGCUAUUGAAAUGAAGGAGUCUUGAGGUUUUACUUGCUUUUUGAGAAUUUGUAUUAAGGAGCACUUAUCUGUUCGUGAUUGUCUCCCCUGGUCUGCAACCAAGAUGUGCAAUUUCUGCAAUGUCUACUCUUCCUGGGGUUCUGCUUUUACUUUGUAUUCUUUUAAGCUUCUACUACUUUUAUUCUUACCUUGUAGUUUUGCUGCUGUUUUGUACUGAUCAAUUUUGUUUCCUUGUUGUAUAAUCUGGGAGGAGCUUUUCCUCUGACCCUUUAUAUAUAUGAUAUCCUUUUCUCUUACAAUUUUUUUUAUUCUAAUUCAAUAAUAAUAAACAAUAUUAACACUACAAUACUAUGUUUUUUCACAGGAAGUAUACUAUCUAGGCUCAUUCUGUGGUGGUAUCGAGCAAGGAGGGAGUAACUGUGAGUGUUUCAGCUUGACAUAUAUAUGUUUUUGGUUUCUGAUUUUAUUGUUAGUGUUAGUAAAUUUGAAGAACCUUGUGUAGAAAUGAAAUUUCUCUUUUUAUAGGAUAUAGAUUGACUUUUGUUCUAUGAGAUAUUCAUAUAGAAAAGCAUAAGAUAGAUAUAGAGUAGUUAUUUACCUGAUGAAGCCACAUCAAGCACAAUCUUUUUUUUCCAGCCCUGAGCCUUGCAAUGAUUGUCCUAUAGAGAAAUUCAAGAGAACUAAGUUUAGUGAUAAUAAAAUGUUAGUAAAAGACAAUAAAAAAUUGAAACCUUCUUGUCAAUUAGAUUUAGAACCAUAU